UACGUAGGGUGCAAGCGUUGUCCGGAUUUACUGGGCGUAAAGGGCGUGCAGGCGGUUUGUUAAGUCUAGGGUGAAAGCUCCCGGCUCAACUGGGAGAGGUCCUUGGAUACUGGCGAACUUGAGGGAUGCAGAGGAAAGUGGAAUUCCCGGUGUAGUGGUGAUAUGCGUAGAUAUCGGGAGGAACACCAGUGGCGAAGGCGGCUUUCUGGGCAUUUCCUGACGCUGAGACGCGAAAGCGUGGGGAGCGAACCGG
rnacentral:rRNA from 1 species